rnacentral:rRNA from 1 species
GAUUGGAGCGGCCGAUGGCGGAUUAGGUAGUUGGUGGGAUAAAAGCUUACCAAGCCGACAAUCUGUAGCUGGUCUGAGAGGACGACCAGCCACACUGGGACUGAGACACGGCCCAGACUCCUACGGGAGGCAGCAGUGGGGAAUUUUGGACAAUGGGCGAAAGCCUGAUCCAGCAAUGCCGCGUGCAGGAUGAAGGCCUUCGGGUUGUAAACUGCUUUUGUACGGAACGAAAAAGC